ACACACCUCCCUGCAGCCUGGCACUGGAAACUGCUGAGCCAUGCAGGGCAGCCUGGUGGCGGCUAGGACACUUCUGCAGAGGACCUGGAGUUGGGCUGCUCCCGGGGCUCCCAUCUCUUGCUGGGUCUGUUUUCAGGUGCACCCUCCUCCUCCAGGAGGCAGGGGCAAGACCAGCUUCAGCCCUUCUUGCUCUCCAUGGUGGGAUUUUAAAGGAACAGAGAACCCUGGUGGGAGAGGUGAAUCUGAGCUCCUCGGGCCAUCGGGUGUCCUGUGGAGCAGAGGCAGGCCCGUGAGGGUGAUUUUCAGAAUGCUGCCUGCUUCUGAGAGUGAGAUGAAGACCCUCUGGGGUCCCGUUGAUGUCAC
rnacentral:lncRNA from 1 species